rnacentral:rRNA from 1 species
AACGAACGCUGGCGGCAGGCUUAACACAUGCAAGUCGAACGCGCCCUUCGGGGCGAGUGGCAGACGGGUGAGUAACGCGUGGGAACCUACCUCAUGGUACGGAAUAACUCAGGGAAACUUGAGCUAAUACCGUAGGUGUCCUUCGGGAGAAAGAUUUAUCGCCAUGGGAUGGGCCCGCGUCGGAUUAGCUAGUUGGUGGGGUAAUGGCCGACCAAGGCGACGAUCCGUAGCUGGUCUGAGAGGCUGAUCAGCCACACUGGGACUGAGACACGGCCCAGACUCCUACGGGAGGCAGCAGUGGGGAAUAUUGGACAAUGGGGGCAACCCUGAUCCAGCCAUGCCGCGUGAGUGAUGAAGGCCUUAGGGUUGUAAAGCUCUUUCGCCGGUGAAGAUAAUGACGGUAACCGGAGAAGAAGCCCCGGCUAACUUCGGGCCAGCCGCCGCCGUAAUAC